rfam:Aedes albopictus isolate Foshan contig87844, whole genome shotgun sequence.
UGCCCAGCAACUCCUAUCCCUACCUCCUCGCGGUACCGGCCGGAAACUAUGAUCAACCUUAGGGAAGAUCGGGUAACCAACCCCGGUGGGAACUUUGGUCGUAGGCUGACAGGGAAAAGG